AACCUCCCCACAUCCCCCGUACUUCCCGGCCCAACCUCCACACAUCCCCCAUUCCUCCUCACGCUCUCCCCUCCUCUCCCCCUCACCACCCAGCGGUGCCGCCGCCACCUCGCGCAGUGGUGCGUCUCCGGCGAUCUCGGGCCAUGGCGACCCGCAGGGCGCUCUCCUCCCUCCUCCGAUCGGCCUCCUGGGUCCACGGGGCCUCCCCCUCGCCGCGCGUCACUAGCGCCCGCUCCCCGCUCGCGUGACCAGAGCCGCCGCCGCCCAAGCCCAGCAGGAGCCCGACGACGUGCCGCAGCAGCACCCACCCAACAUCAAGGAGGAGGAGAAGAUGGCUGACAGCGGCGGAGUCAGCGCCAACAACGCCGCCGCCGGCAACGACGACGAGGAGGGCAACACCGCCCCGUUCCCCUAGACGAGAAAUGGCGUGCUAUUCAUCAGUGGUGAUGUUCAUUUUGGAGAAAUCGCUCGUUUUGAUUGUGGUGCUCAAUAUCCAUUGUAUGAUAUUACCUCAAGUGGUCUUACCCAGUCCGUCGAGAAUUCUGUUCCAGCAGUAUUUCAGUCUGUUAUGAGACUUCUGGCUUGGCUAACACCAACACCCAUGCGACUCUUCAACCCUAACUCACAAAUCAUGCUCAUAUGGUCAACCAAAUUUUGGAGCGAUUGAGAUAGAUUGGAAUGCAGUACCUCCCCAAAUUAAAGUUGAACUAAGAGACUUACAAGGUAAUUUUGUUGUUGGUGUGGAGUUCCCUAUAUCCGAACUGAAACCAUCAGAUCGGAACAAAAAACAAGGGCGUUCUUUUGAACGGCAUUGUGAUCUCGAAACCGAGCUUCCAUGGUUGGUACGGCGCUGGCUUGCUCUUCUGUUCUUUGGCACCAUUGCUGUUUUUGUCGUAGCUGUGGUGCUGCUCGGAAUCGGCUGCUUGUCAGCCACUAAUAUGGUUACUAAAUACAAGGUGGCAUUGCUACGCAGUACAGAGGACGGAAGCAGAGGAUUUUGGUUUGACUACAGUUGGAAAUACCGAAUUAGACACUGACCAGAGAUGUUCACAGGCUAAGGAUCACUAUGGCACAUUUCAGUGUAAAUAUUGCAUGCUGUGCAGCAUACACAUCACGGACUGGAUACGUGUAACGUGGAUACGAUGAAUUUUUGUGUAGUAUCUUGGAGAAGUUGUCUCAUAGAAA